AACGAACGCUGGCGGCAUGCCUAACACAUGCAAGUCGAACGAGACCUUCGGGUCUAGUGGCGCACGGGUGCGUAACGCGUGGGAACCUGCCCUUAGGUUCGGAAUAACUCCCCGAAAGGGGUGCUAAUACCGGAUAAUGUCUUCGGACCAAAGAUUUAUCGCCUUUGGUUGGGCCCGCGUUGGAUUAGCUAGUUGGUAGGGUAAAAGCCUACCAAUGCGACGAUCCAUAGCUGGUCUGAGAGGAUGAUCAGCCACACUGGGACUGAGACACGGCCCAGACUCCUACGGGAGGCAGCAGUGGGGAAUAGUGGACAAUGGGCGAAAGCCUGAACCAGCAAGGCCGCGUGAGUGAUGAAGGCAGUAGGGUUGUAAAGCGCUUUUACCCGGGAUGAUAAUGACAGUACCGGGAGAAUAAGCUCCGGCUAACUACGUG
rnacentral:rRNA from 1 species